rnacentral:rRNA from 1 species
UAGGUAGUUGCUGGCUCUUAGGAGCAUGUGCACACUUGUCAUCUUUAUCCAUCCACCUGUGCACCUUAUGUAGUCUUUGGAGGUGAUAAGCGUGAAGCUAUCGAGGAAUAACGCCUCGGAAGUGGGUCUGCUGCGUGUGAGCGUGGCUGACCUUGUUGCUCGCGCGAGUUUCUCCCAAGUCUAUGUCUUUCAUAUACCACAUAGAAUGUCAUUGAAUGUAUUUCAUUGGGCCUCAGUGCCUAUAUAAAACAAUACAACUUUCAGCAACGGAUCUCUUGGCUCUCGCAUCGAUGAAGAACGCAGCGAAAUGCGAUAAGUAAUGUGAAUUGCAGAAUUCAGUGAAUCAUCGAAUCUUUGAACGCACCUUGCGCUCCUUGGUAUUCCGAGGAGCAUGCCUGUUUGAGUGUCAUUUAAUUCUCAACCCCUCCAGUUUUUGUGACUGGCUUGGUGGCUUGGACGUGGGGGAUUGCGGGCCUCUUCAGAGGUCGGCUCCUCUGAAAUGCAUUAGCGGAGCCGCUUGCGGAACUGUCACUGGUGUGAUAACUAUCUACGCCAAAAGACAACUGCUCUCUGGUACUUCUGCUUCUAACUGUCCGUCUGGACAACAAUACUUGAAUGCUUGACCUCAAAUCAGGUAGGACUACCCGCUGAACUUAAGCAUAUCAAUAAGCGGAGGAAAAGAAACUAACAAGGAUUCCCCUAGUAACUGCGAGUGAAGCGGGAAAAGCUCAAAUUUAAAAUCUGGCGGUCUUUGGCCGUCCGAGUUGUAAUCUAGAGAAGCGUCACCCGCGCUGGACCGUGUACAAGUCUCCUGGAAUGGAGCGUCAUAGAGGGUGAGAAUCCCGUCUCUGACACGGACUCCCAGGGCUUUGUGGUGCGCUCUCGAAGAGUCGAGUUGUUUGGGAAUGCAGCUCUAAAUGGGUGGUAAAUUCCAUCUAAAGCUAAAUAUUGGCGAGAGACCGAUAGCGAACAAGUACCGUGAGGGAAAGAUGAAAAGAACUUUGGAAAGAGAGUUAAACAGUACGUGAAAUUGCUGAAAGGGAAACGCUUGAAGUCAGUCGCGUUGGCCGGGGAUCAGCCUCGCUUUUGCGUGGUGUACUUCCUGGUUGACGGGUCAGCAUCAAUUUUGACCGCUGGAAAAGGUCAUGAGGAAUGUGGCAUCUUCGGAUGUGUUAUAGCCUCUUGUCGCAUACAGCGGUUGGGAUUGAGGAACUCAGCACGCCGCAAGGCCGGGUUUCGACCACGUUCGUGCUUAGGAUGCUAGCAUAAUGGCUUUAAUCGACCCGUCUUGAAACACGGACCAAGGAGUCUAACAUGCCUGCGAGUGUUUGGGUGGAAAACCCGAGCGCGUAAUGAAAGUGAAAGUUGAGAUCCCUGUCGCGGGGAGCAUCGACGCCCGGACCAGAACUUUUGGGACGGAUCUGCGGUAGAGCAUGUAUGUUGGGACCCGAAAGAUGGUGAACUAUGCCUGAAUAGGGUGAAGCCAGAGGAAACUCUGGUGGAGGCUCGUAGCGAUUCUGACGUGCAAAUCGAUCGUCAAAUUUGGGUAUAGGGGCGAAAGACUAUCGAC